UUUCCGUAGGUGAACCUGCGGAAGGAUCAUUAAAGAAUUUGCCCCGUCCUCUCGAGGAUGGGUCCUCUUCUAAACCGUGUAUACAUACCUUUGUUGCUUUGGCGGGCCGCCGUCUCGGCGUUGGCUUCGGCUGACUGUGCCCGCCAGAGAACCCCAACUCUUCUGUUUAGUAUUGUCUGAGUACUAUAUAAUAGUUAAGACUUUCAACAACGGAUCUCUUGGUUCUG
rnacentral:misc_RNA from 1 species